GUCUUUUUGAAUUAAAUUUAAAGUCUAACCUGCCCACUGAAAAUUUUAAAUGGCCGCAGUAUUCUAACUGUGCAAAGGUAGCAUAAUCAUUAGUCUUUUAAUUGAAGGCUGGAAUGAAUGGUUGGACGAAAUAUUAACUGUUUCAUUUAAAUUUUUUAUAGAAUUUUAUUUUUUAGUUAAAAAGCUAAAAUAAAUUUAAAAGACGAGAAGACCCUAUAAAUCUUUAUAUUUUGUUUAUUUUAAUUAUAAAGAUUAUUUUUAUUAUAAUAAAUUAAAAUAUUUUAUUGGGGUGAUAUUAAAAUUUAAAAAACUUUUAAUUUUAAAAACCAUUAAUUUAUGAAUAAUUGAUCCAUUAAUAAUGAUUAAAAAUUUAAGUUACUUUAGGGAUAACAGCGUAAUUUUUUUGGAGAGUUCAUAUCGAUAAAAAAGAUUGCGACCUCGAUGUUGGAUUAAGAUAUAAUUUUGGGUGUAGCCGUUCAAAUUUUAAGUCUGUUCGACUUUUAAAUUCUU
rnacentral:rRNA from 1 species